CAAAAAUGAAGAAUGGCCUUAAAUUUCAGCUUUAUUUUGACAGGAGGUGGCAGAGCCUACCUGUUCUUUGCAUCUAGCUAAGGGAAUGAUAAUUUUGAGCAGGUAGACACAUCCUGAUUCAGUCUGUCACCUACUGUAUUCUAACCCUGGGUGAGCCUGGCCCAGCUGUAGUCCUGAAUGAAAACAUGCAAGGUUAUCCCAUCAGCUGGGAAAGCCUCAUAAACAGAAGUGUUCCCUCACAGGUUCUCAUGGGUCCUGACUCCAUGUGCCUUUGGUCUCUGCUCCUGGAUACUCUUGUGAGCUGUUCAGCCUUUUGCCUCUCAGGUCUGACUAUGAGCAACAGAGAGGAGAUAAACAGGACUCCAUCCAGCAUGACCUGCACAGUAAAAUGCCACUUAAUGCAGACAGCUUGUUGCCUUCCAUUUUACAUCUUCUUCCAAUUAAAGCUUUGA
rnacentral:lncRNA from 12 species